UUCACGUUCAAACUGUGAAGGGAAAAUGAUUGUGAAUCAAACGAAUGUCGUGGUCUUACGUAUCAUUUGACAAAUGCAGUUAACAAGUCCGUAUGGAAUUGACCGCAACGUCACAGUUUUGACUUUUUCCGUCACGUAUAAAACACGUAGAGUUUUCGCUCCUCACAUCCGAAAUAAUAGAUUCACACAUCGAAAUUAGUGGUGUUUUUUUCAUUCUGUGCGAAAACGAAAAGAAAUCCAACAAAACAUUGAAGUUGACCGGCUCGGUUCAAUUUUAUUCCCUUUUAGACCAUCCUAAACCGGCCAAUAUACACGCAUAAAUAAACAAAGAAAAAUGACACAACACUUUAAAAAGAAACAUUCAAUCGACGAUUUAGUUCAUUAUGUCACGCUUCAUAGAAUCCUACCGCUUGCUCUGCGAGCCAUUGUCUGGCCGUUUGUAGUGUUCUAUUUAAUCUGUUUAGGAUUUUUAUACCAAACCGAUGCCGACCACUAUGAAAUCGGUUUCAUUGCAUUGGCUGUGGUUGGAUGUGUGCACAUAUUGACCGUGCUGUGCUGCUAUUGGAGCGUUCAUAUUGCAGCAUUUUUGAAUUGUCGAAAGGUAAAGUUUGAGCUGCCACAAAAAAAUGUCUUCGUCAAAGUUGUACCGAUGCCAAAUAAUGGCUCCGUCCAUCAAACGCAGUUAAAUGACGCUAACAAGCAGAUCAUCUCUUGGUUCAUUUUCCAAAAGAUCAAAUACGUGUGAGAUGCAGACAAGAAAACGUUCCGUGGCAUUGAUUUCUCCAUUCACAAAACAUAUGGAGAGUAUAUGAAUUGCAAAGGUCAUCAGAACGAAGAUGGUUUUGAGCUGGCACAAAAGCGGUACGGAAAUAAUCAAAUGGAAAUGGUUGUACCCGAGUUUUUGGAAUUUUUUAUUGAACGUGCCACCGCACCAUUUUUUGUAUUUCAAAUCUUUUCCGUUGGACUAUGGUAAAGGUAUUUUGCCUCAGUUGGAAUGACUCAAAAUUAGCACAUGGCGAUUGAAUGGCGACUUCUUUGAAUCAAUUCUCAAAUUGUCUCCAAAGUUGAAGUAUUUGGCAAUCAAACGCAUCGGAGAUAAUCUUAUCAUAGGGAACAACAAUGGGUGGCUACAUCGUAAGUAUCCACAAAUCGAACACGUCAAACUCAUGGGACAUCAUGCUGUGGGUAACGAAAUGUCUGAAUUCAAGACACUCCUCGAAUCGAACCCAAAAAUCCAAACACUAUCCACGACAUGCGAUCUAUUUCCUGGAAACGACAACCCUUUUAUGCAAUCACGCGAACAAAUUGGAUAAAUCUAAAAUGGUCAAAUUGGAAAAAAUCGCUUCGGUGCGUGGAAUGGAAAAAUUGUAUCUACAUUCUGCAGAUUCACUGGCCGCUUUACCAUCAAUGCCAGAGCUCAAAGAACUGGCCAUUAUUUUUCCUGUUACUCAUAUUGACCUGGUUGCCGUGACAGAGAGUCUCAUCAACGUCGAACGAGUUUACAUUGGGCGUGCAAAAAUCGAACGAAUUAUACCAUUCUUGCGUUACGCUGCGAAGUUAAAGGAAAUCAAAGUCGAAGAUGAAGAAGCUCAUUACUCAGAUGUUGAUGAUUUCAUCAAUUUGCCAUUAUUCAACAGAGAGUGAGGACGAUUGAAUGGCGCGAGAAAAGUUACAGUUUAUGCAAAAGAAAGUAUUUUUCUCGCAAAAAAAAAGCAUCGAAGGAGACUGAGUUCAGUUUGAUCAAUCUCAAACGAGAUGAAGCAGUCGAAUGGAUUCAUGAAUUUGAAUAGCAUAAAACAGCAAAAUUCAAUACCAACUGUACAAAGAUCAUUCAUCUUCCAGAAACACUUUAGUAUAAAUUACACUUCCAUUUCCAUUACUGAUAAUACAUAAAAACGUUUUUGAUGAUUUUUUGUACUUUUGCAAACGAUAUUCAUAAAUAAAAAUAAAAUUUAUUCAAUAAA